rnacentral:miRNA from 1 species
UCCCUCUUGGUCAAUGAGAGUGUACACUCUCACCGGCCGAGAGGAAUCCCUCUCGGUCAAUGAGAGUGUACACUCUCACCGGCCGAGAGGAAUCCCUCUCGGUUGAUGAGAGUGUACACUCUCACCGGCCGAGAGGAA